UUGACCUUUUCCGGCCAAACCAAAUCCAAAUCAGUUAACCAAACAUUUUCACCAAGGGAAAAUCAAGGCUAAAAAUAAACUUUAAAACCACGAGUUUAUGUGGUGCGAGAAAGGGAAUGAAGUGGCUGUUAACGUUUGAGUUAGUGUUGACAAUUGAUUGAUUGAAAAAAAAAUUCAAGAAAAAUUGUUAAGGAAGCAAGCUGAACUCAUGGUGAUUGAAAGUUGUUCUUGUCAUAAUCUUGCAACAUUUUCUCCAACAGAUCUUUUUCUGAUUGGCAUUAAUGGGCUUGCUUCUGUUAUAGAAGCGAGUUUUUGAUUUGCAGUACUGUUGAGAAAGGUGGUGAUAGAGGUUUCCCUUACUCAAAGGGUUUUCAUUUUGUUGGAGUUGGG